GGUUGUGAAGGUGAUCUGGCUGUGGCAUUUGUCACCCCAUUGAUCACCAAGGUUGAUUGGCUGAUCUGGCUGGUCAGGUGGGUGUCCCCUUCCUCCCUCACCGCUCCAUGUACAUCUUUCCUGAAGCUGCGUGCUCUGUCAAAGAGGAUGACCUUCCCUAAAAGGACCAGUCUUCGGUCAAGGGUAUACUAGUAGCUGCACUUCCCUGCUAGAAGCUCCAAACGAGCUCUCAAGGUCCACUGUAGGAGGACAUAGGGAGUGAAGCUUCCAGACUACAGACACGUCCACAUGAGGCAUUGCAUGUGGCAGUCUGCCUUUCUUU
rnacentral:snRNA from 1 species